UUAAAAGAAGUUAUGAAAUAAUAUUAACUUUGGGAGUUAAAGACUGAGGUAAACUCACUUUUAGG
rnacentral:tRNA from 1 species